UAUAUAGAAAAUGUGAUAGCAUUAAAAGUCUUAAGCGGAUUUAAAUAUUUUGGAUGGUGGCUAGGUCUAAGGGGUUAAAAGAGUUAAGCGUGUUAAAACGAGAGUAGUCCUGUGAUGGGUGACCUCAUGGAAAGUUGGGACGUCACAGUUAGUAUGAGAGCCAAUUAUCAGCCAGAAGUGUACGAGAUGAGCCUUGGUUGAGACAGAAUUAUACAGCGGAGAGAGGGAGACUCCCAUACUGUUAAUUGUUGUGGGUGAAGCGCAAUUCACCACAAGGUUAGUUUAGACUAGCGACACGAGUCUCACAUCACCUGAUACUUGUGAGCCUGAAUCUGACGAGAACGUCAGGGCUUAAAAGGGGGAGAAUGUGAGGUGGUGACUAGACCCAAAAGGUUAAGAAAGUUUAACGUGUUAGAUGAAAUACUAUCUACCCGCUGCAAAGUGCAACGCUCCUGCACUAGUAUAUAAAGAACUAGGCUGGAAUACUAUCAAUAGCACCAAGCUAUUGGUGCUAUUGAUUUUUUAGCUCUUAGAUUAAGAAAUGGAUGGUUAGGAUGAUAUGGGUCCCCUAGGGUUGAGUGAGUUGUUGGUUGAAUAGUAUAAUCUAACAGGUAAAAAUAAUUAGAAAGUUAAAUCUAACGGUGNA
rnacentral:lncRNA from 1 species